ACAGGUAACUCCGCACUGACUCAGACCUGUCUACAGGUAACUCCACACUGCGACACACCUGUCUACAGGUAACUCUGCACUGACUCAUACCUGUCUACAGGUAACUCCGCACUGACUCAGACCUGUCUACAGGUAACUCUCCACUGACUCAGACCCGUCUACAGAUAACUCCACACCAACUCAGAUCUGUCUACAGGUAACUCCACACCGACUCAGACCUGUCUACAGGUAACUCUGCACUGACUCAGACCUGUCUACAGGUAACUCCACACUGCAACAUACCUGUCUACAGGUAACUCCACACUGCGACAUACCUGUCUACAGGUAACUCCACACUGCGACAUACCUGUCUACAGGUAAUUCUGCACUGACUCAUACCUGUCUACAGGUGACUCCACACUGACUCAUACCUGUCCACAGGUGACUCCACACUGACUCAGACCUGUCCACAGGUAACUCCACACUGGCUUAUACCUGUCCACAGGUGACUCCACAGUGACUCAUACCUGUCCAUAGGUGACUCCACACUGACUCAGACCUGUCCACAGGUAACUCCACACUGACUCAGACCUGUCUACAGGGAACUCCACACUGACUCAGACCUGACUACAAAUAACUCCACACUGCGACACACCUGUCUACAGGUAACUCUGCACUGACUCAGACGUGUCCACAGGUAACUCCGCAUUGACUCAGACUUGUGUACAGGGAACUCCAUACUGACUCAUACCUGUCCACAGAUAACUCCGCACUGACUCAGACCUGUCCACAGGUAACUCCACACUGACUCAGACCUGUCUACAGGUAACUCUGCACUGCGACACACCUGUCUACAGGUAGCUCCGCACUGCGACACACCUGUCUACGGGUAACUCCACACUGACUCAGACCUGUCUACAGGUAACUCAACAUUGACUCAUACCUGUCUACAGGUAACUCUGCACUGCGACACACCUGUCUACAGGUAACUCCGCACAGCGACACACCUGUCUACGGGUAACUCCACACUGACUCAGACCUGUCUACAGGUAACUCAACAUUGACUCAUACCUGUCUACAGGUAACUCUGCACUGCGACACACCUGUCUACAGGUAACUCCGCACUGACUCAUACCUGUCUACAGGUAAUUCUGCACUGGCUCAUACCUGUCUACAGGUGACUCCACAUUGACUCAUACCUGACCACAGGUGACUCCACACUGACUCAUACCUGUCUACAGGUAACUCCACACUGACUUAUACCUGUCCACAGGUAACUCUGCACUGACACAGACCUGUCUCUAGGUCUCUCCACAGUCUCACACACAGACUGCUGGGUGCUCCCCCUGAGCUGACUAUGCUUUAGUCGCUGAUUGUGAUUGGACUGCCUCUUAUCGGAGGGCCAUACAGGAGGAAGGUGAUGGUUCCAGCUGGUACCCCUCAAUAUUCCGAGCCUUCCAGCUGAUGCCAAGGGACCUUCAGCAUAAACCCAAACAUUUACCGGAAAAUGCCAACCUUUUCAGAGGUCUGUACAGAUCCCAAUCUCAGAAACAUAAACCCCAUCAAUCCAUGAAGAUAAACCUGGGAGAGUGAGUUCUCUCUCACUUAGCGUGGGACUUGGACAGAGACAGUGUCUUGCUGCGUGUGGAUCAGCAUCUACUGGCUGUGCAGUCAUUCAGCUCUCUCUCACUGCAGGAAUAUACCGGACCUGGUAUACAUUGGCUUGAGUUUGUUCUUAAGGUGUUCUCUGUGUCCAAGAAAACAGAGACUAAUCUUGUUCACUGGGGUGAACAAGGUCAGAUCCACAUCGGGCAGACCACUGUAGCAGGGCGGCAGAGAGUAUGGGGUUAAAGGGCCGACUCUCACUGAUGUACAGACACAAUCGGUGAGACUGCUGAGACUGUCCAAGAAGGACAGGGAAAGGACACUCACUCCACUCCAUUCCAUGGUCCUGCACUGAAUAUUCCCGAAGGAUUGGUGCAUCAUGAUGUAAAACCCCCAACAACCACAAACCUUUCUGAAGGUCAUCAUUACCAGGAGCAUGUGACACACACACUCUCCCUGUCCACUCAGAAUGUGCAGCGCAAUGGGUUGGGGGGUGGGGGGGGGGGUGUUCCAUCAUUUCAGAGGGGCAGUUCGAAAUCAACCCCAUUGCUGUGGGUCUGGAGCCACACAGAAUCUGAAUGGCCACACAAUAGGCCCAGAUUGGGUAAG